rnacentral:rRNA from 1 species
CCUACGGGAGGCAGCAGUGAGGAAUAUUGGUCAAUGGACGAGAGUCUGAACCAGCCAAGUAGCGUGAAGGAUGACUGCCCUACGGGUUGUAAACUUCUUUUAUAAAGGAAUAAAACGACGCACGUGUGCCUUUUUGCAUGUACUUUAUGAAUAAGGAUCGGCUAACUCCGUGCCAGCAGCCGCGGUAAUACGGAGGAUCCGAGCGUUAUCCGGAUUUAUUGGGUUUAAAGGGAGCGUAGAUGGGUUGUUAAGUCAGUUGUGAAAGUUUGCGGCUCAACCGUAAAAUUGCAAUUGAUACUGGCAGUCUUGAGUACAGUUGAGGUAGGCGGAAUUCGUGGUGUAGCGGUGAAAUGCUUAGAUAUCACGAAGAACCCCGAUUGCGAAGGCAGCUUACUAAACUGUGACUGACGUUGAUGCUCGAAAGUGUGGGUAUCGAACAGGAUUAGAUACCCCUGUAGUC